rnacentral:rRNA from 1 species
CGGGAAGCGAGCGUACACAGGUGCUGCAUGGCUGUCGUCAGCUCGUGUCGUGAGAUGUUGGGUUAAGUCCCGCAACGAGCGCAACCCUUGCCUUUAGUUGCCAGCAGUUCGGCUGGGCACUCUAAAGGGACUGCCGGUGUUAAACCGGAGGAAGGUGGGGAUGACGUCAAGUCCUCAUGGCCUUUAUGACCAGGGCUACACACGUACUACAAUGGCCGAUACAAAGGGCAGCGACACUGCGAGGUGAAGCCAAUCCCAAAAAGUGCGUCCCAGUCCGGAUUGCAGUCUGCAACUCGACUGCAUGAAGUUGGAAUCGCUAGUAAUUCGAGAUCAGCAUGCUCGGGUGAAUGCGUUCCCGGGCCUU